GAAGGAAAAUCCAAAUUGUAAUAUGUCCCAUCAACUACUGCAAAACUCCUCCUUUCCAAAAUUUAGCAAAAUUUCAAACAUCUAUGGCUACCACUCUCCCUCUCUUCCUCAAAUCCCCUCAUUUCUUCUCUCGAGUCUUCCUGAUUUCUAGGGUUAGGGUUUUCCUAUUCUCUCUCUGUCGAAUGCAUCACCACACAUGACGAUGAGGAGAUUCUACAACGAGAUCAAGGGAUUGAAGCUGAAGGAUUUGCCCAACCACAAUAAGCCGAUGCUGUUCGUCGACUUCGCCAAGAAGAAUCUGCAAAAAGGCUUGGACAACUACCAAGCCAAGUACAUCCAGACCAGCUCCGUCGAUCCCCUCCUCCAUGUCUGGUUCGGCGGCACGAUCUUCUCCUACCUCGUCGCUCUGCCCGAGGAGCGCUGUCACAUCAAGCACGCCAAAGAGCAUGGCCAUUGCCCUCGAUCAUACAAAUGAUAAGCAUUAUUAGGUGCAAUACUUCAUUCUCAAAGCAUUGUGGGUAAUAGUUCACUCUCGAAGUCCUUUGUUUGGAGGUGUUCAAAGAAAUGUGAAAUCUUUAAGUGACAAUGUUCUUGUUAUUUGAGGUCUAUGUCAUCGGUGUUGUUGUUAGCCUUAGUAUACCGUUGUAAUAUUUGAAUAUGUAAUUCUUUAUGUAAUUAUUAUAUUGUAGCAAAUAUGUAAUUUUGUUUUUAAGUAUUAUAUAUAUAGACACACACACAAUAUUUUAUUAUUUUUGAAAUUUUUUUUUAUAACGGGCAUUGGUUGUGAUCAAUUUGUAAUUCACAAUGGCUAUGCGCAUUUGGUGUUAGAUCUGAA